rnacentral:lncRNA from 1 species
GCCCACGCGGAAGACAGUGGGGGGUCGGGAACUACCGAAGGAGCGACAGUCCUGCAUUUGCCCCGGGGAAGGUCAGAGACCCCCUACCGGAGAACCACUGCAGGAACCUAGAGGGGCCGCGGUUGCCAUGGCGCCGGGUGGGGAGGGGGUGACUCGCGCCCCGCCCCAAGCCCCGCGGGGCCGCGAGCUCCAGAUGGUCCCGGGCCUCCCGCGGGAGCCGGCGGCCUGCGGCAGGGGGAGGCUAUUGUCCUCCUUCCGCGGCGCCGCAGUCCCGCCGCUCGCGCCCGCGCGCAGCCGCCACGCGCCCCGCGGCCG